GUUUCUCGUGUUUUGUUUCUCUGUCGUCUCUCUCUCUCACGAGCAGCCGAGAUCUUUUUUUGAUGGUGUCCGUGUUCGUGCUUGGUCUGAAAUUGACGAAAUAUCCGAGAAAGACAACAACAAUUAGAGAGAUUCAGACAAAGAAAAAGAAAAGGACUUUGAAAUUCUGAGGAUGUUUGGGAUCCAAAGGAGACGUGAUUUGACGAUGGAGCUACAAUCUCAAAUUAUGAUUCUCCGUCGAUGGGAAGGUCACGCCGGCAACGACGCAGAUUGAUCAUGGGAGAGUUUAACUUAACUAUCUUUGAAGAUGGUGUUUUGUCAUCUGCGUUUAUGGUUGGACUUUUUGUGGCUUCUCCAAUACUCACCAGAUUAUCCAAAAGGACAUAGACGAGAAUCUAGCAAAUAGUGCGAUUGCAAAUCUUGUUUAAGUGGACAUGUCUAUGCAAGAUGAACAAAAUACACUUCACUUAAACUAAAAUAAUUUUAAAAAAAUUAAUUCUUAAGAAUCCCUAGUGAGAUUCUACCAUUGGAGAAGGAAAAAAUAAAAAUUUGCUUGUUAUGAAAUAUGUGAUUAUUCAUCACACAAACCUACCCACUCAUCCCAUUACACAAACCUACCCACUCAUCCCAUUAUCCACCUCCUAAUAUUAGCCAUUAUUAGCUAUUCCAUUAAGGCAUCAUUAUGUGUAUAUAUAGACGCUAUUGUGAAUGUAAUUAAAGAUGAAAUAAGAGAAGCAAAUUUAUUCUCUAAACUCUACUUCCUAUCUCUCUCUUAAAUCAGAAAUCAUAUAACAUUUAUACACAUAUUUAUCUUCAUAAUAUUUAGUUAUUCAACACGUUAUCAGCACGAGUAAGCUCUCGUGUCCAGAAUCAACCGAGCAUCCGUCCGAUUAAAAUUUGUUUAUUU